rnacentral:tRNA from 1 species
UCUAUUAAAGUGUCAUCGCACAUAAAAAUUUGAUUUUUAUAGAGAUAAUUAUCUAAUAGAA